CAGAGUUGUGCUGCAUGCGGCUGUUGUUAUUCUGAGGGGGCUGGUGGGGAGGGGGGUGAGAAUAAAAAGUUGUGCCCCGCUCCGCGCAGUUGUGCGGAAGUGCAGCAGGAAAAAGAACGUGAUUUUCAAAAUGGCGGCGGACAGGUAGGCGGGAAGGCCGUGUCAGACAGUUACAUCGCACACACAGCGUUUUCCAGCGGACAUUUCUGCACGCCUGUGUUCAGUUGCCCCAAGAAGUCCCCCCUGCUGUUGCCAUGGCAGCGAAGCGCACGGCGACCUCGGAACUGACAGACCGCAACUGGGACCAGGAGGAGGAACCAGAGGAGGCAGGCACCUGGAACCCGGCCAGCCGUGAGGAGAUGUCUAAGAGAAGAGUGAAGAAGGCCAUGAGAAGAGGGGCUGCAGGCUCUGAGGUAAGCUGAAAUAAACGGUCAUGUGGGAAAAACUCUUACUUUUAA